GCGCGAAAACUUUACAAUGCGGGAAACCGUGAUAAGGGAAUCUCGAGUGCCAGCAUAUAAUGUUGGCUGUCCAGAUGCCUAAAAAGCAUCUGUUAGCAAGGGCCGGGCAAGACCGGUGCCAGCCGCCGCGGUAACACCGGCGGCCCGAGUGGUAACCGCUUUUAUUGGGUCUAAAGGGUCUGUAGCCGGCCAAGUAAGUCCCUUGGGAAAUCUGGCAGCUUAACUGUCAGGCUGCUAGGGGAUACUGCUAGGCUUGGGACCGGGAGAGGUGAGAGGUACCUUGGGGGUAGGGGUGAAAUCUUGUGAUCCUCGGGGGACCACCAGUGGCGAAGGCGUCUCACCAGAACGGGUCCGACGGUAAGGGACGAAAGCUAGGGGCACGAACCGG
rnacentral:rRNA from 1 species